rnacentral:rRNA from 1 species
GAUCAUGGCUCAGGACGAACGCUGGCGGCGCGCCUAACACAUGCAAGUCGAACGAGAGAGAGGGAGCUUGCUUCUUCGAUCGAGUGGCGAACGGGUGAGUAACGCGUGAGGAACCUGCCUCAAAGAGGGGGACAACAGUUGGAAACGACUGCUAAUACCGCAUAAGCCCACAGGUCGGCAUCGACCAGAGGGAAAAGGAGCAAUCCGCUUUGAGAUGGCCUCGCGUCCGAUUAG